rnacentral:rRNA from 1 species
AAAGCGUGCGCAGGCGGUUUUGUAAGUCUGUCGUGAAAGCCCCGGGCUUAACCUGGGAAUUGCGAUGGAGACUGCAAGGCUUGAAUCUGGCAGAGGGGGGUAGAAUUCCACGUGUAGCAGUGAAAUGCGUAGAGAUGUGGAGGAACACCGAUGGCGAAGGCAGCCCCCUGGGUCAAAACUGACGCUCAUGCACGAAAGCGUGGGGAGCAAACAGGAUUAGAUACCCGUGU